rnacentral:tRNA from 1 species
GCGGGGGUGGCUGAGCCAGGCCAAAAGCGGCGGACUUAAGAUCCGCUCCCGUAGGGGUUCGUGGGUUCGAAUCCCAUCCCCCGCAC